UACGUAGGGGGCUAGCGUUGUCCGGAAUCACUGGGCGUAAAGGGCGCGUAGGCGGCAGGCCAAGCGUGCGGUGAAAGUCCGGGGCUCAACCCCGGAUCUGCCGUGCGGACUGGUUUGCUAGAGCACUGUAGAGGCGAGUGGAAUUCCGGGUGUAGCGGUGGAAUGCGUAGAUAUCGAGAGGAACACCUGCGGCGAAGGCGGGUUGCUGGGCUGACACUGACGCUGAGGCGCGAAAGCUAGGGGAGCGAACGGG
rnacentral:rRNA from 1 species